GAUGAACGCUGGCGGCGUGCCUAAUACAUGCAAGUCGAGCGAAGAGACUAGUAGCUUGCUCCUCUUGCGUUAGGGGCGAGUGGGUGGUGAACACGUUGAUCACCUCCCUAGGAUACUUGGAUAGCUUCGGGAAACCUGAGCGAAGACCGGAUAAUAUAUUGAACCGCAUGGUUCAAUAGUGAAAGGGGGGGUUACGGGCACUUGUCGUUUGAUCCGCGCGGCUUUGGCUAGUUGUUAAGGGAAUGGCUUACCAAGGCAACGAUGGGUAGCCGACGGGGGCGGCGGAUAGGCGACCCGGGAACUGAGCCACGGUCCAGACUCCUACGGGAGGCACCAGUCGGGAAUCUUAGGCAAUGGGCGAAAGCAUGACGCAGCAAGGCCGAGUGAGUGAUGACGGUCCUCGGAUCGUAAAACCCUGUUAUUAGGGAAGAACAACUGUCUAAGUAAAUAUGCCCGUAUUGACGGUACCUACUCAGAAAGCACCGGCUAACUACGUG
rnacentral:rRNA from 1 species